UACGGGGGGGGCAAGCGUUGUUCGGAAUUACUGGGCGUAAAGGGCUCGUAGGCGGCCAACUAAGUCGAACGUGAAAUCCCUCAGCUUAACCGAGGAACUGCCUGCCAGACUGUGAGGCUUGAGACCGGGAGAGGUGAGUGGAAUUCCCAGUGUAGCGGUGAAAUGCGUAGAUAUUGGGAGGAACACCAGUGGCGAAGGCGGCUCACUGGACCGGAACUGACGCUGAGGCGCGAAAGCGUGGGGAGCAAACAGG
rnacentral:rRNA from 1 species